rnacentral:rRNA from 1 species
GACGAACGCUGGCGGCGUGCUUAACACAUGCAAGUGGAGCGACGAACCAGGGCUUGCCCUGGGGCAGAGCCGCGAACGGGUGAGUAACACGUGGGUAACGUGCCCCGAUGACUGGGACAACCCGGGGAAACCCGGGCUAAUACCGGAUGUGCCCCCUCACAUCAGUGAGGUGUGUAAAGGAAGCUUCGGCCUCCGCAUCGGGAUCGGCCCGCGGCCCAUUAGCUUGUUGGUGAGGUAACGGCUCACCAAGGCUGCGAUGGGUAGCUGGUCUGAGAGGACGAUCAGCCACACUGGGACUGAGACACGGCCCAGACUCCUACGGGAGGCAGCAGUGGGGAAUCUUGCGCAAAGCGCGAAAGCGUGACGCAGCAACGCCGCGUGGGGGAAGACGGCCUUCGGGUUGUAAACUCCUUUCAGUUGGGACGAAGGUCGGGCGGUUAACAGCCGUUCCGGCUGACGGUACCUUCACAAGAAGCCCCGGCUAACUACGUG